rnacentral:rRNA from 1 species
GGUACGAUUUGCCUGGUCCACGUACGCAAGUACGCGAGUACUAGAGCGAUUCUGCCAUCCUUCUAGUUAACUGGCUAUACUUAACUGUGUGGUCAGUGAUCUAGAUCAUUUACUUUGAAAAAAUUAGAGUGUUUAAAGCAGGCUCGCGCUAUGAAUACAUUAGCAUGGAAUAAUAAUUUAGGACUUUUCUCCUAUUUUAUUGGUUUCUAGGGGUAAAGUA